GAUGAACGCUGGCGGCGUGCCUAAUACAUGCAAGUCGAGCGAACAGACGAGGAGCUUGCUCCUCUGACGUUAGCGGCGGACGGGUGGGUAACACGUGGAUAACCUACCUAUAAGACUGGGAUAACUUCGGGAAACCGGAGCUAAUACCGGAUAACAUGUUGAACCGCAUGGUUCAACAGUGAAAGACGGUCUUGCUGUCACUUAUAGAUGGAUCCGCGCCGCAUUAGCUAGUUGGUAAGGUAACGGCUUACCAAGGCAACGAUGCGUAGCCGACCUGAGAGGGUGAUCGGCCACACUGGAACUGAGACACGGUCCAGACUCCUACGGGAGGCAGCAGUAGGGAAUCUUCCGCAAUGGGCGAAAGCCUGACGGAGCAACGCCGCGUGAGUGAAGAAGGUCUUCGGAUCGUAAAACUCUGUUAUUAGGGAAGAACAAAUGUGUAAGUAACUAUGCACGUCUUGACGGUACCUAAUCAGAAAGCCACGGCUAACUACGUGCCAGCAGCCGCGGUAAUACGUAGGUGGCAAGCGUUAUCCGGAAUUAUUGGGCGUAAAGCGCGCGUAGGCGGUUUUUUAAGUCUGAUGUGAAAGCCCACGGCUCAACCGUGGAGGGUCAUUGGAAACUGGAAAACUUGAGUGCAGAAGAGGAAAGUGGAAUUCCAUGUGUAGCGGUGAAAUGCGCAGAGAUAUGGAGGAACACCAGUGGCGAAGGCGACUUUCUGGUCUGUAACUGACGCUGAUGUGCGAAAGCGUGGGGAUCAAACAGG
rnacentral:rRNA from 1 species